GUGAAGAAUUAUUAUUUUUAAUUCUCCUUUCAGGCUUCAGAGGGCACCAGAGAGCUGGAAAAUGUUUUCAGAAGAUGUGUAACUUGAGCAAAGUGAGAAACCCAGGAAGCUAACUUACAUGAACAUCUAACUGGACAAAGUAUAAAUGAGACAUAAGUGGGCCAUUUGGUAUUAGUGCUGACUUGGCAAUGUACUGAAAGGCAAUAUUGGACAUCUAUUUAAUUUCUAAUAUGUGAUGUUCAGUGGAGUUGUUUGGUUUUGGUUUUUGUUUUUGUUUUUGCAACAAGCACAGAUUCUGUCUGAUCCUUGUAAUCUGAGGCCUGAUGAUUAAAGAGGAAGCUGCGUA